CUAUACGUGGUGGGUUUUGACAGGGGGGGGCCCGGGUUUGUAAAACUUGUUCUUUAAAUGUGACCCAGCAGGAAUGGCAUCACUAAGGUUAUACUGUCUCCUUUUUCUAAUCAGUGAAACUAAUCUCCCCGUGAAGAAGCGAGGAUAAAACUAUAAGACGAGAAGACCCUAUGGAGCUUUAAACAUUUAUAACACUUGCUAAAUAAAAUACAAAUUUCAGAAUUAUUUACUCUUUAAGCAACUUGUCUAUAAGUUUUUGGUUGGGGUGACCGCGGAGCAUAAUACAACCUCCAUGUUGAAAGAUCUAUUUCUAAGCUAAGAGCUACACCUCUAAGCAUCAACAUAUUGACAUCCAUUGACCCAAUAUAUUUGAACAACGAACCAAGUUACCCUAGGGAUAACAGCGCAAUCCACUUCAAGAGCUCCUAUCGACAAGUGGGUUUACGACCUCGAUGUUGGAUCAGGGUUUCCCAGUGGUGCAGCCGCUACUAAAGGUUCGUUUGUUCAACGAUUAAAACCCUACGUGAUCUG
rnacentral:rRNA from 1 species